AUUAAAUGAAGACCACAUCUCUUACCCAGAGAAAGCAUUUUUGUAAUCUCUUAUUAAAUAUCCCCUCCUCCUUCUAUUCUGGUUCACUUCUCUUCUGCCAAAAUUCAUAUGCUGUAAGCCCAAAGCACAUGAGUAUUUGGUGAAAAUUAAAGUUUUCCAAAUUCUACGUAAGCAUCUCUGAUAUUUCUGUAAAAAUACAUGAAAAUGUCAAAUAAACUCUUAAAU
rnacentral:lncRNA from 1 species